AUGCACAGCCUCUAAUCCACUUGCAUCUUCUCAAAAGUAGGUGGAUUUAAAAACUGUGCAAAAGAAACUGCAGGUAGAAAAAGGAUUCUGAACAUACAUUAUCAGUUUCCCUUGCUUGAUCUGCAAACAUGC